GGUUGUGGCUCAGUGGCAGAGUGCUUGCCUAGCAUGUGUGAGGCACUGGGUUCAAUUCUCAGCACCA
rnacentral:tRNA from 1 species